AUUGAACGCUGGCGGAAUGCUUUACACAUGCAAGUCGAACGGCAGCAUAGGUGCUUGCACCUGAUGGCGAGUGGCGAACGGGUGAGUAAUACAUCGGAACGUGCCCAGUCGUGGGGGAUAACGUAGCGAAAGUUACGCUAAUACCGCAUACGAUCUACGGAUGAAAGCGGGGGACCGUAAGGCCUCGCGCGAUUGGAGCGGCCGAUGUUAGAUUAGGUAGUUGGUGGGGUAAAGGCUCACCAAGCCGACGAUCUAUAGCUGGUCUGAGAGGAUGAUCAGCCACACUGGGACUGAGACACGGCCCAGACUCCUACGGGAGGCAGCAGUGGGGAAUUUUGGACAAUGGGCGCAAGCCUGAUCCAGCCAUUCCGCGUGCAGGACGAAGGCCUUCGGGUUGUAAACUGCUUUUGUACAGAACGAAAAGCUCUGGGUUAAUACCUCGGGGUCAUGACGGUACUGUAAGAAUAAGCACCGGCUAACUACGUG
rnacentral:rRNA from 1 species